rnacentral:ncRNA from 1 species
AGUCGGGAGCUAAGGCGAGGCCGAGAGGCGUAGUCGAUGCACAACCGGUUGAUAUUCCGGUACCGCCGUGCCCGCGCCAAUGCUGAGCUCGAGUUGCUAAGGGGCUGUCCUUCGGGGCGAACCGACCCACUUGAAGGAGGCAAGCAACGCGGGGACGCAGGAAGGUAGAUCAACCCAGGCGAUGGUUGUCCUGGGGUAAGCGUGUAGGACGGGGACUAGGCAAAUCCGGGCCCCAUGAAGUCUGAGACGUGAUACCGAGCCGUUAGGCGAAGUGAUUGAUCCUAUGCUGCCAAGAAAAGCCGCUAGCUAGUUGGCACGGCGCCCGUACCCUAAACCAACACAGGUGGACAGGUAGAGAAUACCAAGGCGAUCGGGAACCACUGGUUAAGGAACUCGGCAAAAUGCCCCCGUAACUUCGGGAGAAGGAGGGACCCCAUUAGGGUGAAGGACCUUGCGUCCGGAGCUCGAAGGGGUGGCACAGACCAGGGGAAAGCGACUGUUUACUAAAAACACAGCAGCGUGC